CAAGCUAUUUGUGGCCGGAAUUGUGGUGACUGCUCAUCCACAAGUUUUGAUUUUUGCUAAUUUGGACAAUCCUUGGGUUUGACGUAAUUUAUUUGUAGAAAUUGAACCCGAGCGAUGCACUUUCUCUCGACCUCUGGAAAUCAGUUGACAUUAUGGUGCCACCAACGCUUCAACGGACUACCGGUGCUCUAUAAUCAUCUUUCCAUUGUGUGUUGACUUUAUUGACUUUUCAAGCAAAAUUUUGAUGGGUUUGGUGGUGCUAGAGGCUUUGCGCGUGGAAUGGGUGGACGUGGUUUCGGAUAUUAAAGAGAUGCUUUCUACAAGAACUGUUGGUGAUCUUCCUCUACAACUUCAUUGCCCUUUAUGCAAAGAUGUGAUGAAAGAUGUUGUUCUCACCAGCAAGUGCUGUUUCACCAGUUUCUAUGAUAAAUAUGAUCUCUUUCCUAAUAAGACAUUAAGGGAUACAAUAAACCUAUUCAACACGCCAAAAUAAAGAUCAAAAAAUGGAAGCCUUGAAAGAAUGCAGUAACAACGACGAGUUGUUAAGAUGCGUCGGCUGGAAGAAGGGCGAAAUUAUGCAUCUGACAAACUAGAUAUUAAUGUAGAAGGUUUUGUAGUAAUUCAUCAGCUACUAAACAGCAACUAUAAAGAAUCGAAUCAUCUGCACCCUAUGUAAUAUUAAAGCUCAGAACCUAAUAACAAAAGUGAGAGAACAAAUUGAUCUGGUGCGUAGGGACAAGGUUUGAAAACCUAAUCCUUAAGUUAAUACUCGAAGAUUAAUGUCUACUUACUAAUGAAUGUUCUAGUCAAGUCUGGAUAGACCAGUCAAGUCUGAGUUAAUGUAUUAAACAAAUGUUCAAGCCAUAAAUGAAGAAUGAGAAUUAAGAUCAAAGUAAAGUUAAUAAAUGAAAAACAAAGAGAAUGUUGUAAAGUGAGUGAAGUAAAUGGAAUAUUGCUAAAAGGUUUGAACAAUCCGUGUAUUGAUUUAACAUUGAAUGAUCCUAUAAAUAGGAGAAUGAAGUACAUGGUACUAAUCGAUUACAUACAUAGGACUGGAUAAAAGAGUUACAUCUGGCACUCUGAAUACCCGCGUUGACAAAAAGACCAAAUCCUAUGACUAGUUAAAUCAAACAAAAGAAAAAUACAUUUACUGCAUAAAGACAAAAUAUUGAUUCCGAAACAUCAAACAUUUCGGACACAAGGUCCAUUCCGGAAUGCCUUCACUGUCAUUGUUCACAUCACCCUCUUAACAUCAGGUCUGGACACUAACAGAUUCCGGAGCAGACUUCAUUUCAGAACUAUAGGUGACUUCGAAAUUGACAAAAGGAUUAGGAUUGCUGGAGGUUCACUUUCAGGUUCCAAAAAUCUCCCUCUAAGUGAACUUAGCGAUCAAGUCAGCUUAGUUCGCUUCUUCUUUGAUGAACAUGUAGGCUCGGAAUAACCAUUCUCAGACUUCGAUG